GUUUUAGUAAAAAUAGAGAAGUUCUACUUUUCGAUUGAUUUUUUGGUCUUAGAUAUGGAGCAUUAUGGCGAUCCAAGAUAAAUUUCCAUAAUUUUAGGAUGAUCUUUCCUAGCUACAGCCAAUGCAUGUAUUAAUUAUAGGACAGGAGUUAUAGAUGUCUCAUUUGGGAAUAAAAAGCUAAGGUUAAAUGUAUUUCAGGCUCCUCAC
rnacentral:lncRNA from 1 species